GACGAACGCUGGCGGCGUGCUUAACACAUGCAAGUCGAACGGAAAGGCCUGCUUUCCCUUGUGGAUUGCGGGUACUCGAGUGGCGAACGGGUGAGUAACACGUGAGUGAUCUUCCCCCAACUUGGGUAUAAGCCUGGGAAACUGGGUCUAAUUCCCGAUAGGACUGCAGGGUGGUGCCUGUGGUGGAAAACGAUUUUCUAGUGGUUGGGGAUGAGCUCGCGGCCUAUCAGCUUGUUGGUGGGGUAAUGGCCUACCAAGGCGGCGACGGGUAGGCUGCCUGAGAGGGUGGACGGCCACAUUGGGACUGAGAUACGGCCCAGACUCCUACGGGAGGCAGCAGUGGGGAAUAUUGCACGAUGGGCGGAAGCCUGAUGCAGCGACGCCGAGUGGGGGAUGACGGCCUUCGGGUUGUAAACUCCUUUCGACCGCGAGGAAGCCACCUGGUUGGAAGGGUGGUGACGGUAGUGGUAGAAGAAGCACCGGCUAACUACGUG
rnacentral:rRNA from 1 species